rnacentral:rRNA from 1 species
UAAAACGGAUCCCCUAGUAACGGCGAGUGAAGCGGGAAGAGCUCAAAUUUGUAAUCUGGCACUUUCAGUGUCCGAGUUGUAAUCUCGAGAAGUGUUUUCCGCGCUGGACCGCAUACAAGUCUGUUGGAAUACAGCGUCAUAGUGGUGAGAACCCCGUAACUGAUGCGGAUGCCCAGUGCUUUGUGAUACACUUUCGAAGAGUCGAGUUGUUUGGGAAUGCAGCUCAAAUUGGGUGGUAAUUCCAUCUAAAGCUAAAUAUUGGCGAGAGACCGAUAGCGAACAAGUACCGUGAGGGAAAGAUGAAAAGCACCUUGGAAAGGGAGUUAACAGUACGUGAAAUUGUUGGAAGGGAAACGCUUGAAGUCAGACUUGCUAUGUGGAUUUAUUCGCUUCGCAGGCCAGCAUCAGUUUCUGGGGGUGGAAAAGGGUUUGGAGAAGGUAGCAACUCCGGUUGUGUUAUAGCUCCUUGCUGGAUUCAUCUUUGGGGGACUGAGGAACGCAGCGCGCUUUUUGCAAGGCUUUCGAGCUUUUCGCGCUUAGAUGCUGGUGGAAUGGCUUUAAACGAC